rnacentral:lncRNA from 1 species
GGUUGUUUUAAAUGUCGUCUGUGGGGAAAGCUUCAGGUAAGCAAAUUUAGUCAUUCCUAUUUCUCAUUUACCCUUUGCAUGAAUAAUUUUCUAAUUUUUCUUUUUUCCUUAUUUCUAUUACAGACUCAGGGUUUGGGCACUGCUCUGAAGAUCUUAUUUUCUGAGAAAUUGAUAGCAAAUAUGCCAGAAAGUGGACCUAGUUAUGAAUUCCAUCUAACCAGACAAGAAAUAGUAUCAUUAUUCAACGCAUUUGGAAGAAUUUCUACAAGUGUGAAAGAAUUAGAAAACUUCAGGAACUUGUUACAGAAUAUUCAUUAAAGAAAACAAGCUGAUAUGUGCCUGUUUCUGGACAAUGGAGGCGAAAGAGUGGAAUUUCAUUCAAAGGCAUAAUAGCAAUGACAGUCUUAAGCCAAACAUUUUAUAUAAAGUUGCUUUUGUAAAGGAGAAUUAUAUUGUUUUAAGUAAACACAUUUUUAAAAAUUGUGUUAAGUCUAUGUAUAAUACUACUGUGAGUAAAAGUAAUACUUUAAUAAUGUGGUACAAAUUUUAAAGUUUAAUAUUGAAUAAAAGGAGGAUUAUCAAAUUCAUAUAUGAUAAAAGUGAAUGUUCUAAGUCUCUCAAACUAGCGUUUUAUGUAAUAAUAUGUAAUAUAAAUAAAACUAUGGUAAAUGU